rnacentral:rRNA from 1 species
UACGUAGGGUGCGAGCGUUGUCCGGAAUUAUUGGGCGUAAAGAGCUCGUAGGCGGUUUGUUGCGUCGGCUGUGAAAUCCCGAGGCUCAACCUCGGGUCUGCAGUCGAUACGAGCAAACUAGAGUGUUGCAGGGGAGACUGGAAUUCCUGGUGUAGCGGUGAAAUGCGCAGAUAUCAGGAGGAACACCGGUGGCGAAGGCGGGUCUCUGGGCAACAACUGACGCUGAGGAGCGAAAGCGUGGGGAGCGAGCAGG